GUUCAUCUCUGCUGGAAUGAAACCACUGAGACUGUUGUUCAACAGAUUUAAAAAGGCUAAGAUAAGAUAAGUUUGUCAAGUUUCCAAUGGAAGGAGGAAUUUCACCAAUAAGACUAUUGUUGUACAAACAAAGCUUUUCAAGGGAACCCAACAUUCCAAUUUCUUUAGGUAUGGACCCUGAAAUUUUAUUGCUAAAAAGGCCAAGAUAA